rnacentral:rRNA from 1 species
GACGAACGCUGGCGGCGUGCUUAACACAUGCAAGUCGAACGGAAAGGCCCUGCUUGCAGGGUACUCGAGUGGCGAACGGGUGAGUAACACGUGGGUGAUCUGCCCUGCACUUCGGGAAUAGCCUGGGAAACUGGGUCUAAUACCGGAUAGGAGCCAUUUUUAGUGUGAUGGUUGGAAAGUUUUUUCGGUGUAGGAUGAGCUCGCGGCCUAUCAGCUUGUUGGUGGGGUAAUGGCCUACCAAGGCGGCGACGGGUAGCCGGCCUGAGAGGGUGGACGGCCACAUUGGGACUGAGAUACGGCCCAGACUCCUACGGGAGGCAGCAGUGGGGAAUAUUGCACAAUGGGCGCAAGCCUGAUGCAGCGACGCCGCGUGGGGGAUGACGGCCUUCGGGUUGUAAACUCCUUUCGCUAGGGACGAAGCUUUUUGUGACGGUACCUAGAUAAGAAGCACCGGCUAACUACGUG